ACUUCCUCUCUCUCUCUCUCUUCGUUGUUUAUUGUUUUGCUGUUAAUUGUAAGUUGAAAGUAUAUCCAAAAGUGGUCCUGUCUCACAUGCAGUUCCAUUGUAUCCAAUCCACGUUGUAGAGGUUCACUUCUAAGUGAGGACCAUUUCCGACGUUUGUUGUGUAGUUCCGUCCAUACUCCACAAACUUUUUUUCUAUUUUUGUCUUAACUAAAAUUGAGGUGGUGACAAAAGUGGUAAAAGCCUUUGGAGAUUGUGGAUCAGAUGAAGAUAGGGGUGAAGCAAGCUACGAUCGUGAAACCAGCUGGAGAAGGCCCAUCAAGAUAGCUUGAUAUCUGGGUCUUCAUAAAUCGCCCAUGCUUUGUUGGACAAAAUAAAAAGAACACAAUGCAUCUGGAAAUUUAAGACAACAUUCACUUAUAUAGACUUCUUACGUAACCCUAAGACUUGUGACUUUUCCCACACGUCACGACUUUACAAAAGCCCCGGUUUACAGUUAAUUUAUAAUUUAGUUAUGUAAUCAUUCCAAACUCAAUUAUAAACUAACAUAUACGAUGAGUCUAGGGGUGGGAGGCAACGGAGAAACCAUGCGGGCGCGCAGCAGGAGCUUCUUAAGAAGAUCACUCAUGAGCUGGACGCUGAACGCGAAGCCUCUUCGUCGGCUGCUUCCGAAGCCUUGUCGAUGAUUCUACGCCUUCAGGAAGAGAAAGCAGCGUUGGAGAUGGAGGCUAGUCAGUACAAUAGGAUGGCUGAGGAGAAGAUGUGCCACGCUGAGACUUCUCUGACGCUCUUCGAAGAUCUGAUUUACCGAAAGGAAAUGGAGAUGGCGUCUCGAGUUUCAGGUUCAAGCUUACAGAUGAAAAUUACUCAGCCUCGGCUGCUCUGAUGUUCAUGCCGAGGAGAAGAAAGGUGUUGAGAGUGGUUCUUUAUCUCCUCGUCAAGACUUGAGCGUGUGUUGGGAAGAGAUCAGGAGAAUAGACGAUCAUGUUCGAGAGGUUUCAGAGUCGAGAGAUGUUGCCAAGGGAUCUAAAUGGUCUUUGCUUAGGCAUGAGUCUAUUUCACAUGCAUUGGUUUCACAGACGAGGUUCCAAGGACCAAGGAGAGCCUUACAAUCAUCUCGGAAGAAAGAAAUGUAAGUCACCGCUUUUGAAACUUUAGGGGCUAUAGACAAUUUAGUAAAAGCUUAGAUGAUUUUUUUUAAACAAAGUUGAUGGGUUUAUUAUAUAUACAUAAAAUCUUAUUGAAAAAAAUUUGGAGGUUAGAGCAUCUGUAUUAGUGGGAUGAGGAGAGAGAGAGAAAAAGUCCCUUGUUCUAUUUUUUUUUUUUUUUUUUUUGGUCAUAGGAGAGGACAGCCCUUAAUUAAGGGCUUUUCGCUUCUCUUUCUUCUUCGGUUCCCACCCCCUUUCCCUAAGGGAUGUCUUAAGGGCCUUCCAAUACAGAUGCUCUAAGUCAAUGCUUCAACGGCCUAUGUUCAUGACCGGUCCUUGUCAUUAUCAUAUUUACUAGAACAAAUGGGUUAAGUGUUAAUAAUAAGUAGAAAUAAUCACAGGUCGGAGGAGUAAGCCGACAAAAGUUUGUAACAGUCAGAUACAUAUAUAUAAUAAAUAUUGAGGAAAAUUUUAAAAGUGGAGUAUUCCCUAGGUGAUUUUUGAAAUUUUAAUUUUUUCACAAAAGUAGAAGCUUUUUAUGUUUUCAAAUAUUCCAAUUUUUGUGUAUCCAUUUUAUCCUAUUAAAUUAAAACAGUUAAUAUCUAUGAUUAAUUAGUUCUUUUGAAAUUAUGAUAUUAAAAAGCUUUCUUUUUGGUAUGACAAACUUUUUUUGAAGUGUGUGAAAAUUGUAAAACAUCUAUUUCAGUGGAACAUAAAAUACAUUUUUUUUAAAGGUGAAUCAAUAACAUAAGGUGAAAUUCAACUUGUUUUCCAUGCUUGCAUUUUUCACCUGUACAAAGAAUGGCCAAUCUUGGAAGAAUCAAAGACAAUACCAAAAGGGUAUCUCCCACUCAAUCUGUGAGUGAAGAUACAGAGCUAAGACCGUGUCUCAUGGCUGCUUCCCACACCAGAUCAAUACGGUCAACGUCAAUGGCUCCAACCUCAUGAUGCUCCCAACCCUCCAGCAUAUGAACCAAUCCUCCAGCAUGGCACGCAUGGACCACCCCUCUGUCCAUCGUGUACUGCCACAACACACACACACACACGCAUGCAGAGUUUUAGUCCGGUGUACCAAAAAGUUAAAGAAACAAACAAGAACUCAAUUUCUGUUAACCAAACUGUUCUUUAUACCUCACAAGUUCCGAGUCCUUGAACGUCCUUUGGGAGCCUCAUUGCUGCUAGUUCGUCGUAAGUACAAUUCCUUCUAAACUUGAGGAUUGGUGGCACCACAAACUGGUGGAAAUGCGUUCCUGCAGGAGCCCAACUCUGCUCCCUCGGCGUUAACCAUUUCCCAACGAUCCAAGUCUGUAUAUAUAUAAUACAGACUCCCAAAUGUUAAAUUAUGGACUUUCAACUUUAAACUAAUCGGCAAUAAGUGGAUUGGUCCAUACUUUUUAGAUAUUGUUUAAUUAUUUUUCCAACUAUCAAAUGUGAAUUUUUUUUUUUUUUUUUGUAACAUCAAAUGUGAAAUUUCAUUCAUUCAUU